UACGAGGGGGGCGAGCGUUGUUCGGAAUUAUUGGGCGUAAAGGGUGCGUAGGCGGUUUGGUAAGUCUUGUGUGAAAUCUACAGGCUCAACUUGUAGUCUGCACGAGAAACUGCCGGGCUUGAGUGUGGGAGAGGUGAGUGGAAUUCCUGGUGUAGCGGUGAAAUUCGUAGAUAUUGGGAAGAACACCAGUGGCGAAGGCGGCUCUCUGGACCGUAACUGACGCUGAGGCGCGAAAGCGUGGGGAGCAAACAGG
rnacentral:rRNA from 1 species